rnacentral:rRNA from 1 species
AGUGAACGCUGGCGGUAGGCCUAACACAUGCAAGUCGAACGGCAGCACAGUAAGAGCUUGCUCUUACGGGUGGCGAGUGGCGGACGGGUGAGGAAUACAUCGGAAUCUACUUUUUCGUGGGGGAUAACGUAGGGAAACUUACGCUAAUACCGCAUACGACCUACGGGUGAAAGCAGGGGUUCUUCGGACUUUGCGCGAUUGAAUGAGCCGAUGUCGGAUUAGCUAGUUGGCGGGGUAAAGGCCCACCAAGGCGACGAUCCGUAGCUGGUCUGGGAGGAUGGACAGCCACACGGUAUCUGAGACACGUUCCAGACUCCGACGGUAGGCAGCAGUGGGGAAUAUUGGACGAUGGGGGCAUGCCUGAUCCAGCCAUACCGCGUGGGUGAAGAAGGCCUUCGGGUUGUAAAGCCCUUUUGUUGUGAAAGAAGAGCAGCAGGUUAAUACCCCACUGUUCUGACGGUACCCAAAGAAUAAGCACCGGCUAACUUCGUG